CCUACGGGAGACAGCAGUGAGGAAUAUUGGUCAAUGGACGCAAGUCUGAACCAGCCAUGCCGCGUGCAGGAUGACGGCUCUAUGAGUUGUAAACUGCUUUUGUACGAGGGUAAACCCCGAUACGUGUAUCGGGUUGAAAGUAUCGUACGAAUAAGGAUCGGCUAACUCCGUGCCAGCAGCCGCGGUAAUACGGAGGAUGCGAGCGUUAUCCGGAUUUAUUGGGUUAAAAGGGUGCGUAGGCGGGUUAUCAAGUCAGCGGUAAAAUCGUGGAGCUCAACUCCAUCCAGCCGUUGAAACUGAUGAUCGUGAGUGGGCGAGAAGUAUGCGGAAUGCGUGGUGUAGCGGUGAAAUGCAUAGAUAUCACGCAGAACUCCGAUUGCGAAGGCAGCAUACCGGCGCCCGACUGACGCUGAAGCACGAAAGCGUGGGUAUCGAACAGGAUUAGAUACCCCGGUAGUC
rnacentral:rRNA from 1 species